GAAACGCGAUACGUGAUGCGAAUCGCGGGAACCAGCGAGCCAUCCAAUCUUCGAACGCACCUUGCGCUCCCGGUACCCCCGGGAGCACGCCUGUCCGAGUGUCGUCCCCAAGACCCGUCGCCUUUCUUUCUCUUCUCUCUCUUUUCAUCGAGAGAGAGAGGGGUGUGAAAGGCUGCCCUGGGCUUGUCGCCGCCUGACUUCAUUUGUUUGGGUGGCGUCGCCCUAAGAACAGACUCAAAGGGGUUUUUCCUUCUUUGCAGGAUUUCUCCACUCAUGCCCUCUCUCUUUCCCUUCUCUUCUUCGCAAGAAGAGAGAAGAGAAAAAGAGUGCCUGGCAGUUAGCGGGAUCUUCACGAUUUCGCCACACCAAAGGGUCUCUUUUUUUCUUCUUUCCUUGGGAAGAGAAAGAGAGGAGCAAAAAGAGAAAAGGGAAACUUGCAAAACAAAAAGGAUAAAACCAUUUCCCUUUUUUGUUAAACACUUUUUUUCAAAAACGACCGACCUCGGAUCAGACGUCAUCACCCGCCGGACUUAAGC
rnacentral:misc_RNA from 1 species